CAAGUGUAGGCGAGACAGAAAUAAACAAAAAAAAAAAAAUCAGGUAUUUCUGGGAAAACCUUAAGAGAAAGAGAAAGCCUUAAACAAAGAACAAGGAAGAACAGACGUUACACGAAAUUGUGUUCAACCAGAGAUUGACACAAAAUGGACGCCACUAAAAAACUGAUUAUGGACACUCUUGAUCAGAUUGUGAGUGCAGAUUUCAAAAGGUUCAUCUGGCACCUGUGGAAUGGUGUAGGACACGACAUCGACCCUAUUCCUCGAGCUCUUCUCGAGAACGUGGAUCGUCAGGAUCUGGUGGAUAUUAUGGUCCAGAGAUACACUACUAAUGCUGGGACUGUCGCAGUACAAGUGCUGUGCAACAUCAACCAACAUGAUCUUGCAAAAAACCUUAAUUUGAAACUUCAGCAAGCGGGUUCUGGUGGACAAUAAGGAAGAUUUUAUCAUCAUCAAGCUCAUGAUCAGAUGGGAAGAUCCUUCUUUGGACAAGAUGCUCAGUGGCGUCUUGAAUCUCUGUGAGGGUCCUCACUGCAUCUUCAGUCCUCAUUCAUCUCUAAACAAGGGCUUUACAUCAUAAACAUGGUCAAGUCAGUAAUCUGCCACAAUAAUGUCAUGCCUUUUUAUUUGUCAUCUUCACUCUGACAAUAAUUACGUUCACAGCUCUACUCUAAACCAUUCAUCAUGGGGCCUCAUUUAUGCAGUUCAAUUAAAAACAAGUGAGAAUAAAGUACAAUCACUUCUACCAUAAUAGAUCAUAAAUAAAUAAAGUCAAGGAGCCUAAUGUGCCGCCUGAUGAGAUAUUCUUUACAGAUGGAUAAAAUUCAGAUUUUCACUGAUUGGGUGUAAUGGGUGAUGAAUUAUUGCUUGAGCAGUUACAUUUUAUUAUUUUUAUUUGUUAUAAUUAUUCUCAGAAUUUGGUGUUGGAUGUUGAAAUUAGAAACCAAUCAUUAAUGGUAGUGGAUGAUGAAUGAUUAUGUCAUUUACAUUUAUUCAUUCUGUGAUCAGUUUGUUUGGACAUUGAUUUCAAAACUUUUGUGUCUGUAUUAGUGGCUGCCGUGUGUA